rnacentral:lncRNA from 1 species
UUUACUGAAUUUAUUUCACGCCUUCCGACGAUGUUCGGACUGGUCGUCGCAUUUUACUGGAUUUAUUUCAGGCCUUCCGGCGAUGUUCGUUCGGGCGAUGGUAACAAUGGGGUGUUGCCCCUGUAUUUUGGCUGGCGAUGUGGCCCUACAUGCAUGCACUCCGACUAUGUGGUCAGGGGAUAUGAGGGCAAGGGGCACAGAGAGCAAUGGCCUAUAGGAUUAGGU